rnacentral:rRNA from 1 species
UUGCCCCUAGGGGUAGAUCUCCCACCCUGUGUCUACUUACCUUUGUUGCUUUGGCAGGCCCGCCUCGCGGCCGCCGGCUCCGGCUGGCCCGUGCCUGCCAGAGGACUCCAAACUCAUACUAUUUCUGCCGUCUGAGUACUAUACAAUUAUUAAAGCUUUCAACAACGGAUCUCUUGGUUCUGGCAUCGAUGAAGAACGCAGCGAAAUGCGAUAAGUAAUGUGAAUUGCAGAAUUCAGUGAAUCAUCGAAUCUUUGAACGCACAUUGCGCCCUCUGGUAUUCCGGGGGGCAUGCCUGUUCGAGCGUCAUUACAACCCUCAAGCUCUGCUUGGUGUUGGGCAGCACCGGCCCCGGUGUGUCCUAAAAUCAGUGGCGGUGCCGUCUGGCUUCCAAGCGUAGUAACACUUCUCGCUUCCGGAGACCCGGCGUGUGCCUGCCGUGAAAUCACUACUUACUCAAGGUUGACCUCGGAUCAGGUAGGGAUACCCGCUGAACUUAAGCAUAUCAAUAAGCGGAGGA